CCUACGGGAGGCAGCAGUGGGGAAUUGUUCGCAAUGGGCGCAAGCCUGACGACGCAACGCCGCGUGGAGGAUGAAGACCUUCGGGUCGUAAACUCCUUUCGAUCGAGACGAAUGUUUUCCGGGUGAACAAUCCGGAAAAGUGACGGUACCGAGAGAAGAAGCCCCGGCUAACUCUGUGCCAGCAGCCGCGGUAAUACAGGGGGGGCAAGCGUUGUUCGGAAUUACUGGGCGUAAAGGGCUUGUAGGUGGCCAACUAAGUCAGACGUGAAAUCCCUCAGCUUAACUGGGGAACUGCGUCUGAUACUGGAUGGCUUGAGUUUGGGAGAGGGAUGCGGAAUUCCAGGUGUAGCGGUGAAAUGAGUAGAUAUCUGGAGGAACACCGGUGGCGAAGGCGGCAUCCUGGACCAACACUGACACUGAGGAGCGAAAGCCAGGGGAGCAAACGGGAUUAGAUACCCCGGUAGUCCUGGCCCUAAACGAUGAAUGCUUGGUGUGGCGGGUAUCGAUCCCUGCCGUGCCGAGCUAACGCAUUAAGCAUUCCGCCUGGGGAUACGGUCGCAAGGCUGAAACUCAAAUGAAUUGACGG
rnacentral:rRNA from 1 species